rnacentral:rRNA from 1 species
UUUAGCCAAACAAGUAUUAAAGGUCCCGCCUGCCCAGUGAUAAUUUAAACGGCCGCGGUAUUCUAACCGUGCAAAGGUAGCGUAAUCACUUGUCCCCUAAAUAGGGACCAGUAUGAACGGCUAAAUGAGGACAAACCUGUCUCUUACAACUAAUCAGUGAAAUUGAUCUCCCAGUACAAAAGCUGGGAUAUUAACAUAAGACGAGAAGACCCUGUGGAGCUUCAAACCCGCCAUCAACAAGUUAACACAACACACUGACCGGCAGUUUUAAGUUGGGGCGACUUCGGGAAAAAACAAAACUCCCGAGCACAGAACCACAAGUUCUAACCGCGGCCAACAAGCCAAAAUUAUACAAAACAGACCCAGUAAAACUGAGCAACGAACCAAGUUACCCCAGGGAUAACAGCGCCAUCUUCUUCAAGAGUCCAUAUCGACAAGAAGGUUUACGACCUCGAUGUUGGAUCAGGACACCCAAAUGGUGCAGCCGCUAUUAACGGUUCGUUUGUUCAACGAUUAACAGUCCUACGUGAUCUGAGUUCAG